UGUGUAUCAUAAUUUUAUGUUGUGACCUUUAGUAUAGAAGUCAUACUUUGAUCAUAUCUUCUUUUUGUUUCUGGGUACCAUAGGCUGUAAUAGAAAGUCAACACUAAGUCAUACUCUGAUCACUUUGAUAUGAUGGGACUAACUGUGGUUGGACCAUGUUCCAACAAUCCUCCAGAUUGAAAGAUCCUUGCUAGAGAAUAUUUGGUCUGUUGCUGGUUGAAUGGGAACCAUUGUUGUUUCUCUUAGUGAUUAUUUAUUUAUUUGUUGGUAACCUUGGCUUGAAAAGCCAAGUCCUCAAUGUUGAACAGUAGGCUGCCUUUCGUUUGGGACUCAAACCCUACUGUGUCAGACCAUUGUUGUAUUUUUUUUUCUUAAAUCGUUUAUGUAUAUGUAUGGUUAGGAUGUGUUUGGAUGAUACCUGUAAAUGGGGUUAACUGUAACUGAUUUACAGUUAAAUGGUUUAUAGUCUGUGUUUGGAUGCUGAAAAUUGCCUGUAAAUGCUUUUCUACGGCUUGCAGGUUUUGACCCUUCCACUUUCAUGCUUGAUUAAAGUUCUUCUCUGCCCUUUGAUUUUACAGAUGGUGGAAAAGCUAUUUUAUUUGACAGUUUUAUCAUGGUGAUCUAGUGCUAAAUCCUCUUACACCUUGGGAUAGACCUCCAUUGAAAAACAUUUUCUGUAUACGUGGGAUAGAUAUGAAGACUGAGUUACAACAAAGUGGGUUGCUUAAAGGGGAUGAUCUCAUGGAUCACUUUUUCCGAAUCCUCAUGGAAAUUUCUAUAGCAAAUUUUUUGGCCACUGACAUGAUUAAUCCAAGCUCAUUGUCCCUACAAAUGCCACAACAAGUCCAGCAUCUCUCAUUUGCUGUUAUUGAUAUGUAUGCAAAGCUUGUGGUUUUAGUUAUUAAGUUUGGGUAUCUAUGAACAGUAUCAGGAGCAAUGGGAUGAUCUGUUGCAACCCCAUGUGUGAGUUCUCUUUCUUUUCCUGAGGAAAUACCAAGUUCAUCAUUCUUCUCUUCCCUUAAGCGAUCAUAAUAACCAUGCUCUUGUCCUGCGAAUCCUAAACCAUCAUGCCAUUUCGACUCAUGAUAGCUUGCAGGUCUCUCCACUUGAUCCUUGUAAAAUGGACUGUUGUCAUUAGGCAAAGCCAGAGAUAUGGUGUUUGUCAUAUUUAAAGAAUCUAGCUCGGCGCUCAGGGAUGAAUUAUUUGCUUUACUGUCUUGGAUCAUGACCGGGUAAGAAGGUUGGCCAGCAGCAACACCGUCUCUCUGAGAUGUAGCUCCAUCUGAAUUCUCAAGUUUCAAAUUUUCACUUUCUUGUGGCAAUUUCUCAUUUUGGCUAACAUCAGCUGACUGCAAUUGGCUAGUGGAUGCAACCCUUUUAGUUCGCCCUUCAGCCUUCUUAUUGUGGAAUUCCUCUAGCUGGAAAAAGAAGCAAAUGAAACUUCAGGAAGCAAGGGAGAUUCAUAACCUGACUGGCCAGAACAAUGUUAUCAAUCAACAAAAAUACUGCAAAUGCAUAUAUGAAUGCAGAGCUGUUUCACUUACAUUUAUAGAGGUUUCGACUAUAUAGCAGAAAUGAUUCCAUAAUUGCAAUUAUAAUGCAGGUGAACAACUAGGAUUGGCAGAAGAAUAAUUCAAUUUGCAGUAGAGGCUCCAUGUUUCCAAAAGCCAACAAUGAUAGUUGUGUUCAAUCAUAUUCACAUCACCCUUUGUUCAAACAAAUUCACAUGAGCAAGGAAAAAAUUGUAAGAUUUUUUAGCAGUGUCACCGUCCGUCCGUCCCUCCCUCUAUUGCUUUUUGAGCAACCGGAAAUACCACACUAAAAAAUUCCUGCAAUGUCCGAUGUUGCAUCAGAAAGAUAAUCCACUGUUGUGGGUUUGUUGUAUAUGAAGUUCGAUCAAUAAUGGUAACUCCCUCUCCUUUUUAUUGCAUUGUAAAAAGAAAUGCAUUUGCUUGGUUUGCUAGUUGCAGGUGGUUUAACUGAAAAUCAUAUCUACUUUGCAAACCAUGUUGAGAUUUUUGGAGGUAAGCAGGCACAGUCAUUGUGGAUGGGGCAUCCUGUAAUUGACAACCCGUGCACAUUACGAUACUAGCCAUGUAUAUAACAUGUUCCCCCAUUUUAACAAUGGAAAUGUGGAAUUUGUUGCGGGAAUUUUUUGUUUGAUUCAAAUCAAACUCCUUCCAUCUCAUGACUUAGUUGGGAUUCUUGUGCAGAUAGUGGAAUAUAUACGUGUCUUUUAAUGGAUGUUGUGAAAUGAGGUUUGUUCAUGCAUGGAUCUAUGGAAUUGGGUGAAAGAAGAUUUGGAUUGA